UCUAAUGCAAAUCAAAUAAAAAGAAACAAAGAAAUGUAGAUUUUCAAUUUGUUGGUAUCUGAAGAUGAGACUUGCCACAAUUUGGAAGUAGAAGCAGCAGGAGAGGCAGGCAACUCUUUAGCAUGCUCGUUGGAAAUCGAUGUCUCAAGAUUAAUACUGUCCAAAUGGGAGUUCAGUUGUUCACACACAUUAAUAGUGUCAAUGAAUCUUAAUCUCAUCGUAUGUUGGUGUGCUAAGUACCUGAAAAAUUUUUUUAAAAUGCGGUUUAUUGUUGAUACAUACGUACUUAUGUUGAAUAGCGUUUGAAACUUUUAACUUACUCAAUAUACUCUGAUCUUAA